GACGAACGCUGGCGGCGUGCCUAACACAUGCAAGUCGAGCGAGUGAAUCUCCUUCGGGAGUGAAACUAGCGGCGGACGGGUGAGUAACACGUGGGCAACCUGCCUCAUAGAGGGGAAUAGCCUUUCGAAAGGAAGAUUAAUACCGCAUAAGAUUGUAGCUUCGCAUGAAGUAGCAAUUAAAGGAGUGAUCCGCUAUGAGAUGGGCCCGCGGCGCAUUAGCUAGUUGGUGAGGUAACGGCUCACCAAGGCGACGAUGCGUAGCCGACCUGAGGGGGGGAGCGGCCAAAUUGGGCAUGAGACACGGCCCAGACUCCUACGGGAGGCAGCAGUGGGGAAUAUUGCACAAUGGGGGAAACCCUGAUGCAGCAACGCCGCGUGAGUGAUGACGGCCUUCGGGUUGUAAAAUUCUGUCUUCAGGGACGAUAAUGACGGUACCUGAGGAGGAAGCCACGGCUAACUACGUGCCAGCAGCCGCCGUAA
rnacentral:rRNA from 1 species